rnacentral:rRNA from 1 species
UACGGAGGGUGCAAGCGUUGUCCGGAUUUAUUGGGUUUAAAGGGUGCGUAGGUGGCCCUGCAAGUCUGUGGUGAAAGCCUGCCGCUUAACGGCAGAACUGCCAUGGAUACUACAGGGCUUGAGUCCAGACGAGGUUGGCGGAAUGGAUGGUGUAGCGGUGAAAUGCAUAGAUACCAUCCAGAACCCCGAUUGCGUAGGCAGCUGACUAGGCUGGUACUGACACUGAGGCACGAAAGCGUGGGGAGCGAACAGG